UGCAGUCGACGAGCUUCCGUUGAAUGACGUGCUUGCACUGAUUUCAACAAUGAAGCGAGUGGCGAACUGGUGAGUAACACGUGGGGAAUCUGCCCAGAAGCAGGGGAUAACACUUGGAAACAGGUGCUAAUACCGUAUAACAACAAAAUCCGCAUGGAUUUUGUUUGAAAGGUGGCUUCGGCUAUCACUUCUGGAUGAUCCCGCGGCGUAUUAGUUAGUUGGUGAGGUAAAGGCCCACCAAGACGAUGAUACGUAGCCGACCUGAGAGGGUAAUCGGCCACAUUGGGACUGAGACACGGCCCAAACUCCUACGGGAGGCAGCAGUAGGGAAUCUUCCACAAUGGACGAAAGUCUGAUGGAGCAAUGCCGCGUGAGUGAAGAAGGGUUUCGGCUCGUAAAACUCUGUUGUUAAAGAAGAACACCUUUGAGAGUAACUGUUCAAGGGUUGACGGUAUUUAACCAGAAAGCCACGGCUAACUACGUGCCAGCAGCCGCGGUAAUACGUAGGUGGCAAGCGUUGUCCGGAUUUAUUGGGCGUAAAGCGAGCGCAGGCGGUUUUUUAAGUCUGAUGUGAAAGCCUUCGGCUUAACCGGAGAAGUGCAUCGGAAACUGGGAGACUUGAGUGCAGAAGAGGACAGUGGAACUCCAUGUGUAGCGGUGGAAUGCGUAGAUAUAUGGAAGAACACCAGUGGCGAAGGCGGCUGUCUAGUCUGUAACUGACGCUGAGGCUCGAAAGCAUGGGUAGCGAACAGGAUUAGAUACCCUGGUAGUCCAUGCCGUAAACGAUGAGUGCUAAGUGUUGGAGGGUUUCCGCCCUUCAGUGCUGCAGCUAACGCAUUAAGCACUCCGCCUGGGGAGUACGACCGCAAGGGUUGAAACUCAA
rnacentral:rRNA from 1 species